CGGCCAUGUUCGGGUAUAGUAACGGCGCACGUUAUAACAAUUAUGUAACCAAGGAAUCACGGGGGCAGUGAUGGAUUAUAAGACGGGGCACUGAUUCUGGCUGUCACCUACGCCCCUGGUCAGUGUGGCUCCCCCAGACCAGACUGAGCCCAUGUCACCCGCUGAGGACGCGUUCCCUCGGGCACAGGUAGUCAGCGCAGUCUCCCUGUGGCUUCUACGGAAGGGGUCUCAUGCUUUGUGUAUCAUGGCUUUGCAGCCCUGGACAUAUCAGAAUCUCUCACGUAAAGGCAUGCUCUUGUUUUGGCCAAGAGAUGUUUUGGCAAACUGAGGCCUGACAUAUGGUGAAGGAGGCAACAUUUUACCAGGAGGAACCAUAAUCCCACUUGGAGUGACCGUUGGGGAGGUUUUAAUGGAAGAAGGAAGUGUCUGGGGAUUACAGUUCUUUCCACUUCCCUCUUGAUUCUCUCCUGUACUCUCUAUCUCCUGCUGUGGGGACAGACGGAACUGCUCCCUGAUCUGUUUUACUCUGGACAAAACCCCAGGAAGGCCCUUCUGCCCGGUGCUUUACAUGCUCUGCAAUACUUAAAAGAAAGAAGCCCUGAUGGAAAACACAGAUACGGACAGCAUGUUUUUUUCAUGGCAGAUGCACCUUCUGGUGCCUCCUAUCCGGGCAUCCUGUCUAGACCAGUCCUUACGGCAGUGCUGUGAAGGGUGGUCCCAUCAUGCCCACGUCAUAGAUGAGGCAACAGAGGUCAGGAUUGCUAAACAGCUCUCCAUCAGCGCGGUGACUCUUCUCGACUUCUGCCAACACGGACAGAGCAUGAGCAGCAGAAAGACACAGACCAACACCGCUUCUCUUUGGGUUCUUGUCACCUCCUGCCUCUUGGCCCCUGCUCACAGCAGCUUCUCAACGUGGAAGCUCUUAUUACUGACCGUGAACCUUCUACAUGUAAUACACUCUGAUGUUGUCGGGCUUACGUGUGUCUUCUUACUACGUGGCGUCCAUUCGUGCCGCGUGUCCGUGCUUCCUUCUUCCUUUUUCUCCUGUCUCCUUUGAGAAU